rnacentral:lncRNA from 1 species
CCAGGUGAUGACUUGUUGUACCAGGUGAUGACUUGUUGUACCAGGUGAUGACUUGUUGUACCAGGUGAUGACUUGUUGUACCAGGUGAUGACUUACUGUACUAGGUGAUGACUUGUUGUACCAGGUGAAGACUUUUAGAACCUAGUGAUAAUGACUUAUUGUACCAGGUGAUGACUUGCUGUACCAAGUGAUGACGUGUUGUACCAGGUGAUGACUUGUUGUACCAGGUGAUAACUUGUUGAACCAGGUGAUGAAUAAUUGUUGUACCAGGUGAUGACUUGUUGUUAUAGGUGAUGACUUGUGUUUACUAAGUGAUGACUUGUACCUAAUGUUGACUGUUUGUACUAGGUGAUGUCGUGUUGUACCACGUGAUGACUUGUUAUACCAGGUUGAUGACUUGUGGCACCUGGUGAUGCCUUGUUGUAUCUGGUGAUGACUUCUGGUACCUGGUGAUGACUUGUGGUACUUGGAGAUGACUUGUACCUGGUGUCUACUUGUGGCACCUGUUGAUGACUUCUGGUACCUGGUGAUGACUUGUGGUACCUGGUGAUGACUUGUGACACCCGGUGAUGACUUGUGGUACCUGGUAAUGAAUUGUUAUACCAGGUGAUCACUUGUGACACCUGGUGAUACUUGUGACACCCGGUGAUGCCUUGUUGUAGAUGGUGAUGACUUCUGGUACCUGGUGAUGACUUGUUAUACUAGGUUGAUGACUUCUGGUACCUGGUGAUGACUUCUGGUACCUGAUAAUGACUUCUGGUACCUGGUGAUGACUUCUGGUACCUGAUAAUGACUUCUGGUACCUGGUGAUGACUUGUGGUACCUGAUAUUGACUUCUGGUACCUGGUGAUGACUUGUGGUACCUGAUAAUGACUUCUGGUACCUGGUGAUGACUUGUGGUACCUGAUAAUGACUUCUGGUACCUGGUGAUGACUUCUGGUACCUGAUAAUGACUUGUGGUACCUGGUGAGGACUUCUGGUACCUGAUAAUGACUUCUGGUACCUGGUGAUGACUUGUGGUACCUGAUAAUGACUUCUGGUACCUGGUGAUGACUUGUGGUACCUGGUGAUGACUUGUUGUACCAGGUGAUAAUUUGUGGUACCUGGUAAUGACUUGUUGUACCAGGUGAUAACUUGUGGUACCUGGCAGUGACUUGUUGUACCAGGUGAUAACUGGUGGUACCUGGCAGUGACUUGUUGUACCAGGUGAUCACUUGUGGUACCAGGUGAUUACUUGUGGUACCUGGCAGUGACUUGUUGUACCUGGUGAUGACUUGUGGCACCUGGUGAUAACUUGUGGUACCUGGCAGUGACUUGUUGUACCAGGUGAUCACUUGUGGUACCAGGUGAUCACUUGUCGCACCUGGUGAUGACUUCUGGUACCUGGUGAUGACUUGUGACACCCGGUGAUGACUUGUGGUACCUGGCAGUGACUUGUUGUACCAGGUGAUCACUUGUGGUACCUGGCAGUGACUUGUUGUACCAGGUGAUCACUUGUGGUACCAGGUGAUCACUUGUGUUACCUGGCAGUGACUUGUUGUACCAGGUGAUCACUUGUGGCACCUGGUAAUGACUUGUUGUACCAGGUGAUCACUUGUGGUACCUGGCAGUGACUUGUUGUACCAGGUGAUCACUUGUGGUACCUGGCAGUGACUUGUUGUACCAGGUGAUCACUUGUGGUACCUGGCAGUGACUUGUUGUACCAGGUGAUAACUUGUGGUACCUGGUAAUGACUUGUUGUACCAGGUGAUCACUUGUUGUACCAGGUGAUCACUUGUUGUACCUGGUGAUAACUUGUGGUACCUGGCAGUGACUUGUUGUACCAGGUGAUCACUUGUUGUACUAGGUGAUGACUUGUUGUACCAGGUGAUAACUUGUGGUACCAGGCAGUGACUUGUUGUACCAGGUGAUGACUUGUUGUACCAGGUGAUCACUUGUGGCACCUGGUGAUAACUUGUGGUACCAGGUGAUAACUUGUGGUACCUGGCAGUGACUUGUUGUACCAGGUGAUCACUUGUUGUACCAGGUGAUGACUUGUUGUACCAGGUGAUAACUUGUGGUACCAGGCAGUGACUUGUUGUACCUGGCAGUGACUUGUUGUACCAGGUGAUCACUUGUGGCACCUAGUAGGAAUUUGAAGACAAAAAUAUGUUGUAUUCUUUAUGUAAGCAAUUGUGACCAUGACAAAUAAAAAUGAUGUUUUUCAA